rnacentral:tRNA from 1 species
UGAACGGUUAGCUUAAGUUUAAAGUGUUGGAUUUUUAACCCAUGGAUUGAUCCGUUUAU